UACGUAGGGGGCAAGCGUUGUCCGGAUUUAUCGGGCGUAAAGAGCGUGUAGGCGGCUUUACAGGUCCGUUGUGAAAACUCGAGGCUCAACCUCGAGACGCCGGUGGAAACCGUAAAGCUAGAGUCCGGAAGAGGAGAGUGGAAUUCCUGGUGUAGCGGUGAAAUGCGCAGAUAUCAGGAAGAACACCCGUGGCGAAGGCGGCUCUCUGGGACGGUACUGACGCUGAGACGCGAAAGCGUGGGGAGCAAACAGG
rnacentral:rRNA from 1 species